AGUCUAGGCCAUACCACCCUGAACGCGCCCGAUCUUGUCUGAUCUUGGAAGCUAAGCAGGGUCAGGCCUGGAUAGCACUUGGAUGCGAGAAUUUAAAACGCUAUUU
rnacentral:rRNA from 1 species